CUGCCAGAAUCGUGAUCGUCGUCCCACUUUACGUGUAGAAACACAGCAAGAAGUCUGGGAGGGAAAGAACAUUCGACCCGCUGUCUACAUUGAGCCUGUUAUAUCUUGCAGGAUCUAGAGUUUUACCAACAUGGCGACCAGAGCUGGAUUUCGUCU